CCUACGGGAGGCAGCAGUGGGGAAUUUUGGACAAUGGGCGCAAGCCUGAUCCAGCCAUGCCGCGUGUGGGAAGAAGGCCUUCGGGUUGUAAACCACUUUUGUCAGGGAAGAAACGGUCUUUUCUAAUACAGAGGGCUAAUGACGGUACCUGAAGAAUAAGCACCGGCUAACUACGUGCCAGCAGCCGCGGUAAUACGUAGGGUGCAAGCGUUAAUCGGAAUUACUGGGCGUAAAGCGUGCGCAGGCGGCUUUGCAAGACAGGUGUGAAAUCCCCGGGCUCAACCUGGGAACUGCAUUUGUGACUGCAUGGCUAGAGUACGGUAGAGGGGGAUGGAAUUCCGCGUGUAGCAGUGAAAUGCGUAGAUAUGCGGAGGAACACCGGUGGCGAAGGCAAUCCCCUGGACCUGUACUGACGCUCAUGCACGAAAGCGUGGGGAGCAAACAGGAUUAGAUACCCUGGUAGUCCACGCCCUAAACGAUGUCAACUGGUUGUUGGACGGCUUGCUGUUCAGUAACGAAGCUAACGCGUGAAGUUGACCGCCUGGGGGAGGUACGGCCGCGAGUAGAACGUACGAAGAGUAGUAGACGNGNGAGAGCGACGACGACGACGACGGAGGAGGAGG
rnacentral:rRNA from 1 species